rnacentral:rRNA from 1 species
GAUGAACGCUGGCGGCGUGCCUAACACAUGCAAGUCGAACGAUGAAACCGCCCUCGGGCGGACAUGAAGUGGCGAACGGGUGAGUAACACGUGACCAACCUGCCCCUUGCUCCGGGACAACCUUGGGAAACCGAGGCUAAUACCGGAUACUCCUCGCCCCCCCUCCUGGGGGGCCCGGGAAAGCCCAGACGGCAAGGGAUGGGGUCGCGGCCCAUUAGGUAGUAGGCGGGGUAACGGCCCACCUAGCCCGCGAUGGGUAGCCGGGUUGAGAGACCGACCGGCCACAUUGGGACUGAGAUACGGCCCAGACUCCUACGGGAGGCAGCAGUGGGGAAUUUUGCGCAAUGGGGGAAACCCUGACGCAGCAACGCCGCGUGCGGGACGACGGCCUUCGGGUUGUAAACCGCUUUCAGCAGGGAAGAAAUUCGACGGUACCUGCAGAAGAAGCUC